CUAAAAGCAAACAGUUAAUUCAAGCCUACAAGAGAAACUUUGGUGGCAGUUAAAAAACCAGUCAAGCAUUGAAAUUCUCAUAUCUUUACAAGAGAAUGGCACAAAACCCUCCUCUAUUCUACUCAAUAAUGGUAAUUUUACUGCUGAUCAAUGGACACACUCAAGGCAGACCUGCAGCCCCUCAGUUGCCAUUCGGCUCGCUGAGCCCUACUGCCCAACCGCAAGGAUGCGAUAUAUACGGUGACCGAGUGUACCUUCCUGGAGAAGUCAUAUCUGGCGAUCCUAAUGGCUGCUUUGCUGUGAUUUGUACGGAGCAUGGAAUACAAAUUUGGGAUGGUGAUUGCCAAUCCUCCACCGCCAAUCCGAAACCUCCCUCCUCAGCCCCUGCAACAUUUGAAGUUGAACUCACAACUGAACGGCCCCCGCCAACUUUUCCGGAAUUUCCAUUCGCGGGCGUCCAAGGCUGACGAGGUUUAAUUAGCAUCGUAUGGAGGGUUCGCCUCGGUACGAGGAAUAUUGUAGCUUACUGUUUGGGGAGUAUUGUAUCAGGCGAAAUACUGUAAUGCAAUAAAAAUGGGAACUGAUGAAAUUA